UCUUCAAAGCCCCAACUUCACUUGCUAACAUUCUCAUUUACACUAAUUAAACUACCACUAAACUACCACCUAAUACAGACUCAAAGCAUACGAAAACACCUAUAGUCUAUUUCCUUUAUUCAGGAGCACCACUUGUAACUCCAAUUGGUGAAGCAAAUUCUGGCCAUAUUUAUGCAGUCUUCACCGUUGUUAUGCUUGCCAUUACACUCCAACAACAGUUAUUUUCUUUGCUGCAAAGUCUAUGCUUGGAUGACAACUAAUUUCAUCUUCAUAAUAUAUCCAUCCACCAAAAAUUCGAGCCAACCUAUUAAAGUAGGAAUCUUUCAACAUAAUUUGAGCCACCAACAUUCACAGAGUUUGCAAUCUAAUAAAGAUCGAAAGCAUUGUGAGAUAUAAGAUCUUGGACUUCACAUUGGUUAAAACAUAUCAAUCUCUCCAAGUUCAAAACUUCAUACUUAUCCCUAAUUUAAGUUGUUGAGAACUUUUUUUUUUGAAGAAGAUUGAGAACUUUUUUUUACUUAGUAUCAUAAGCAAAGAUUGAAGCAUUUAAGUACUGUAUAUUAAAGCAUUCAAAAUUACAACAAAGCAUGUCAUCAUAUCUCUGUUUUCAAAGCCAGCCAUCUAAAGCAAGAAAGAUAAGAGUGUGACUUUUUUUCUCUUUCCUAGAUUGGGUUUUAUAACAGUCAUUUAAUUAUGUGAGAUAGGAUGCCAUAUAGGAAAUGAAGGGUUAGAGGAAGAUGUUGUUGAAAUAAGAUAGACAAAACACAGAGGAGAUGAAUAGAAAAGAAAAUUAGAAGAGUGGUGUAUUUGAUCAAUAAGAAAAUAUGUGUGGAUUAGUGAAGGAGUUAUGCAAAAAUAUAGGGUUGGAUACUCAAUACUUCCUAAAAAGUAGCAAUGAUGAUGUAGUCAUCCCUAUAAAAUAGUAAUAACCAUAAAUACCUAUCCCCCUCCCCUACAAAGUAGCAGUUAUGAUUCACCAACAUGUUCCAAAUUUAUCUGCAUACGUAAAAAAAGGAAUAAAAAGUUGCUUAUUAAAAAAAUAAAAAUAAAAAGGAGGUAUUGAAUCAACAUUCGGAACUGCAAAAUCAAUGCAUGGAUUUUAAGCCAUAUGCUCCAGUACCAAAAUGUGAUUCUUCAAAAAAAGAAUGAUCUAUAACACAGAGCACAAAAUAGCAUAGUUUACUUUAGAGAUUAAAUCUACCUGAGUGCCCCAGUCACCAAUAUGAUUUCGGCGGAUCAGACAUUCAUGUCAGUAACAUCUUUUGUAGGCUCUGCAGGAGGAAUGUUUUUUCUGUCAAUGCAUAAUCGAAACAACACACGCUAGGAGUACACUACAAUCCAUUACAGACACUGGCCUACAUAUUUUGGAGACACACAUACCCACAAGCUUGAAGUUAUAAGCUUCAAAUGCUUUCAAAUUCUAAGCUUCAAACUCUAUCCUAAUAGCUUUCUUGAAAAGGGAAAAAGAAGUCCAUGAAAUUUCAAUCUAUUUUAUUUAAAAUUUCACUCUUAUAUAUUACUCAAUCAUAUAGAAAAGAAGUGGAAAAGAAAAAAGAGACUGAGAAAACAUGGACAUAAAGGAGAUUUGUCCAAUAGAAUACUUCGAUAGAUGUAAAAUAUGUCAUCCAAACCACAUAGAUAUAAUGCAUCAAUAACAACUUCACAAAAAAUUCACAAUUCAAACUAUUCAACAAUACCAAAAGAGUGGAGACAUUUUACCAAUUAUUCAACAACUUUAAAAUCCUUCCUUAUAUAAGUUUAUUGAAAGGGAGAAAUCCCCUUUGAAAUCAGGAGUAUAAAAUCCAUCUGAUGCAGCCACUCCAACAAAAGUUUGAGCAUUGGGCAUAUACAAUUCCGAACCAGAUUUCCCAUUAAAAUUUAAGUUUCUCAUUAACUUCAAAAGUCUCUGCUUCUCUUCAGCAGACUUUGCUCCAUAACCCUACCCCAAAUAUCAUACAAAAU
rnacentral:lncRNA from 1 species